AUGGCAAAAUCUUCGCAGAUGUUUGUCACCCUCAUGUGCCUUCUGCUUCUUUGCACCAGCGAUCAAGUCCAUGGAGAGGACGCCAACAUCACAAGCAGCAUCCCAGUACAGCCAGCAAGAAGGUUUCUACCAGCAACAUACUUUCCUCAGACAACCGUGUCAAGACAGUGCGACCUAUGCCACUGCAGCCAUGAUCAUGAGAAAACUUAUUAUGCAACAAUAUGCUGCAAUGAGAUAACUUGCAAUGAUCCAGCGAAGCCGAAAGGCACUUGUACACUUCGUAAACUCUCAUGCGGCUGUGACGUGAAUACAUGCAAGUAG
rnacentral:rRNA from 1 species